rnacentral:tRNA from 1 species
GGACGCUUAGCUCAGCCGGUUAGAGCGUUUCAUUGACAUUGAAGAGGUCGGGGGUUCGAGUCCCUCAGCGUCCA